rnacentral:rRNA from 1 species
GACGAACGCUGGCGGCGUGCCUAAUACAUGCAAGUAGAACGCUGAAGGAGGAGCUUGCUUCUCCGGAUGAGUUGCGAACGGGUGAGUAACGCGUAGGUAACCUGCCUGGUAGCGGGGGAUAACUAUUGGAAACGAUAGCUAAUACCGCAUAACAGUAGAUAUUGCAUGAUAUCUGCUUGAAAGGUGCAAUUGCAUCACUACCAGAUGGACCUGCGUUGUAUUAGCUAGUUGGUGAGGUAACGGCUCACCAAGGCGACGAUACAUAGCCGACCUGAGAGGGUGAUCGGCCACACUGGGACUGAGACACGGCCCAGACUCCUACGGGAGGCAGCAGUAGGGAAUCUUCGGCAAUGGACGGAAGUCUGACCGAGCAACGCCGCGUGAGUGAAGAAGGUUUUCGGAUCGUAAAGCUCUGUUGUAAAAGAAGAACGAGUGUGAGAGUGGAAAGUUCACACUGUGACGGUAUCUUACCAGAAAGGGACGGCUAACUACGUG